rnacentral:rRNA from 1 species
UACGUAGGGGGCAAGCGUUAUCCGGAUUAAUUGGGCGUAAAGGGCGUGUAGGCGGUAAGUUAAGUUGGUUGUAAAAGGCAUUGGCUCAACCAAUGUAAGCGACCAAAACUGAUUUACUUGAGUGCAGAAGAGGAGAGUAGAAUUCCCGGUGUAGCGGUGGAAUGCGUAGAUAUCGGGAGGAAUACCAGUGGCGAAGGCGGCUCUCUGGUCUGUAACUGACGCUGAGGCGCGAAAGCGUGGGGAGCAAACAGG